AAAGGAGCGUAAAGAUUUGCGUCAAAAAUAGGUGGAAAAGCUCCCUCUUCUUCUCGAAAUUGAACUCUCUCGAAUUUUUUUUUUGGUUCCAUUUUGUUGAUUUUUGAUGGCGAUUUUGAGGGAUGAGAGCUUCUCUGAGCUUGGUUGAGCUUCUUCUAGCUCGAUGCUUGUGAUAUUGGCGUACAAUCUCUAGGUUUAUGUUUCUAGUUGGAGUUCCUGAAUUGGGAACAUCGUAGAUCUCAAUUUGAGAAUUUCGACGUGUUUCGAAACCCUAGAUUGCUUAAAGUGGAAUGCAAGUGUUGGAACUUCGACUGCUCAGUUGGAAUCAAUAAAUGAAGUCAGAUUCUUGUUUGGAGCUCCGUCAAGGCUUUAGGGAUUCGUGAUGAACUCCUCUCUUAAUUUGGGAGAGGAGGAUCAAGAAGGCAAUACCCUUCCCUUAUUUUCAAACUGAAAAUGGGAAAAAGCUAAAUACCUAAUCCUUAUUUUGUGCAGCUGAAGAGAUGAGAUGCUUGAACUCUGAGCUUUGGCAUGCCUGUGCAGGGCCUUUGCUCUGCUUGCCGACCAUCGGCGGUCGAGUUGUUUACGUCGCUCAAGGUCACAGUGAGCAGGUUUACAUUUGCACGCUUUUGGGCCCUCAGUUGCUCGAGCAGUGAAUAUAAGUGUGUUAAGCUAUUUCAUUGUUACACAAACAUGGACCUGUAGUCUUUUGUCUGCGAACGCUACAUUCAGUUUGUUGUUCGAGUGUCAAUGGCUCUUUUGUCUGCGAACGCUACAUUCAGUUUGUUGUUCGAGUGUCAAUGGCUCUAUUCUAAUUUAUGCGACUCUCAGUAAGGGAGGUUUGCUGAGAGAGUUGAGUGUUCCACACUCCUAUGAACUUGCUUAAAUCAUUCAGGUGCCUGCUAUCGUUCUGUUGUGCAUUGCUAUUGUUCCUUAUUGAACAAAAUGCUUUGCCUAAACAUUGGUCUCCAGAAAACUACUACAUUUCCGCUUGAGUUACCGCAUUUUUAUGCUGUAUAAAGACUGUUGUGAUUUGUAGUCCUGGUCGCAGACUGUCCUUUCUAGUUUAUAUGCAACUUGCUUAAUACGAAUUAGUUUUUCUUUA